rnacentral:lncRNA from 1 species
ACACACAAUAAUCUUAAAGCAUAUGGAGAGGGAUGAUACAACAACACAUGUCGGUGAAUAAAAAAGAGAACAUAAUAACCCUAAACCACUGGGAACACAUCUCCCAGCAUAAAGAAAAGCCAUGAGAGAAUAAAAACAAAAACUUAGCAGAAAAAACACCAUACACCAAAUCUCCGAAUCUUAUAUUCAUAGACAGCACACAUGCUUAAACAAAUAAUCGAUGGCCACAUCGUUAAAAUUAAAAUAAAAACAUACACCGCAGAGAUAACAAAUUAAACCUAAGAUACCACAUUGAAAUGGAGAACAGUUAUCCAAGCAAGAGAGCAGAUGCACCAUUUGAUAAAAUGCUUUCAUAUCCAGGCAUGCAUUUUCCCAAGUUCGCUCGAGGUUUCAGUCAAACUUCAAAAGGUCUCCAAGUUCCACCGAGCUGGAAUGCAAAAUAUUAGGGUUCCACUUGGUGCAGGGACGGUGGGGAAAAUGGGACAGAGGGAUCGAUUUUAGUUGGAAUUAGGUUUGCCCGAUACAAUUGUAAACCCAUUAAAAA